AUCCUGGCUCAGGAUGAACGCUAGCUACAGGCUUAACACAUGCAAGUCGAGGGGAAACGAUAUUGGAAGCUUGCUUCUGAUAGGCGUCGACCGGCGCACGGGUGAGUAACGCGUAUCCAACCUGCCCAUCACUUGGGGAUAACCUUGCGAAAGUAAGACUAAUACCCAAUGACGUCUCUAGAAGACAUCUGAAAGAGAUUAAAGAUUUAUCGGUGAUGGAUGGGGAUGCGUCUGAUUAGCUUGUUGGCGGGGUAACGGCCCACCAAGGCGACGAUCAGUAGGGGUUCUGAGAGGAAGGUCCCCCACAUUGGAACUGAGACACGGUCCAAACUCCUACGGGAGGCAGCAGUGAGGAAUAUUGGUCAAUGGACGAGAGUCUGAACCAGCCAAGUAGCGUGAAGGAUGAAGGUCCUACGGAUUGUAAACUUCUUUUAUAAGGGAAUAAACCCUCCCACGUGUGGGAGCUUGUAUGUACCUUAUGAAUAAGCAUCGGCUAACUCCGUG
rnacentral:rRNA from 1 species